rnacentral:rRNA from 1 species
UAAGCAUAUCAAUAAGCGGAGGAAAAGAAACCAACAGGGAUUGCCCUAGUAACGGCGAGUGAAGCGGCAACAGCUCAAAUUUGAAAUCUGGCCUUCGGGUCCGAGUUGUAAUUUGUAGAGGAUGCUUUGGGUGCGGUACUUUCCGAGUUCCCUGGAACGGGACGCCUUAGAGGGUGAGAGCCCCGUACGGUUGGAUACCAAGCCUAUGUAUAGCUCCUUCGACGAGUCGAGUAGUUUGGGAAUGCUGCUCUAAAUGGGAGGUAAAUUUCUUCUAAAGCUAAAUACCGGCCAGAGACCGAUAGCGCACAAGUAGAGUGAUCGAAAGAUGAAAAGCACUUUGAAAAGAGGGUUAAAUAGCACGUGAAAUUGUUGAAAGGGAAGCGUUUGCGACCAGACCUUUUCCUGGCGGAUCAUCCGGUGUUCUCACCGGUGCACUUCGCCUGGUUUAGGCCAGCAUCGGUUUUCUUAGGGGGAUAAAGGCUCGGGACACGUAGCUCUUUCGGGAGUGUUAUAGUCCCUUGUGCAAUACCCUUCAGGGGACCGAGGACCGCGCAUUGCAAGGAUGCUGGCGUAAUGGUCGUCAACGACCCGUCUUGAAACACGGACCAAGGAGUCGAACAUUUGUGCGAGUGUUUGGGUGUCAAACCCUCACGCGUAAUGAAAGUGAACGGAGGCGAGAGCCCUUCGGGGUGCAUCGUCGACCGAUCCUGAAGUCUUCGGAUGGAUUUGAGUAAGAGCAUAACUGUUCGGACCCGAAAGAUGGUGAACUAUGCGUGGAUAGGGUGAAGCCAGAGGAAACUCUGGUGGAGGCUCGCAGCGGUUCUGACGUGCAAAUCGAUCGUCAAAUCUGCGCAUGGGGGCGAAAGACUUAUCGAACCAUCUAGUAGCUGGUUACCGC